rnacentral:lncRNA from 1 species
AUUUAUUUCUAUCAACUAAUCACUUAGGUGAAUUCUAGGAAUCUCGGUAACUGUCAGGCCUGAUUAAUGUGAUUUUAUAAACCAAUCCAGUUUUAGUUUCCUUUUAUAUAAUUUUCAAACUGAUCUCACAUCUUAAUUGAAAUGGUAUGACAUUUUCUUACUGCACUUGACCCAGUACUCUUGCUUGCCUGUUUUUGAACUCUGAAUCAGUUGGAUUGGAUACUUAGUAUGUCACUUCUAAAUUGAAAAUGACAUCAUUAUAAAGAUGGUUUCUAGAGAAGGAUAAGACCUAUUGACGUCUCUGUAUAUCUCAAAAGUCUGCUUUAACAACCAAUAACAUUUUUAUGAGUAUUCGUUUUUAAAAACUACUUUAGGGAAUCAGUAAAGUCCUAAAUAAGCCUGGUAGAUAACUUCCUCUUUGAUAAUCUCAAAUUUUCCAAGUCUUCAUCAGUCCUAGCUAUCUUGUGUAGCAUGUAACAUGCAAGGCAUUUCUCUGAUGUACAGUACUAUAUUCCUGUAUGCGUUAGUCUUAUUUUCUACCCUAUAAUUCCAGAUUUCUCAUACUUUUAAGAAUCGACUAGCUAUUUAAAAGACAGGAAAAUUACUAAAUACUUGACUAUUCAUAGGGUAAGCAAACAUCUUCCUAUUCCUCCUAGCUUGGCAUAUGCAAAUCAUACUUAAUAUUUGUUAAAAGCAUAUUUAUAAAGCACAAUCUAUUGGGGAUUUUUUUAAAAAAUACAAUAAAAUCUGAUUUACAGUACUUUGUGUUUUUUGCAGCCUAAGUAUUGACCCUCACCCAACUUUAUUUUCAAAAUCAAAGAAACUUUAUGUAAUAUGUUUCCAUAGCAUCAAAUUUUAGUAACAGAUUUUUUUAAAACCUUGAAAGGUAUUUUAAAAUAUUAUGUAGUUGGGCUGGGGAUUUAACUCAGUGGUUCCGCUGCCUGUCUCACAAGCAGAAGGACCCGAGUUCGAUCCCCGGUACCAAAACAAACAAAAAAUAUUAUGUAGUCAAUUGGAAGUGGUG